rnacentral:rRNA from 1 species
AGCGGUUAAACAAAAAAGAUUUUUUUUUGUUCUAUUUAUCUAAAUAAAUAAAUAAAUUAUAAGAUUUCAAGAAGGUGAAAUUUUUGAAAAUUAAAGCCAAAAGUUUAAAUAAAAACUCCGUUAUAAAACUAGGAUUAGAUACCCUACUAUUAGGAAAUUUUUAUUGUUAGUAAAUAAAUAAUACGAAAACAAAAAAUUAUGGCGGUAUCUUAAGCUUUUCAGAGGAAUUUGCUCUUUAAUGGAUAAAACGCCUUUAAUCUUACUAAAAUUGGCAAUUUCAGUUUGUAUACCACUAUAAAAGUAAUAAUUUAUUAUUAUUGCUUUAAUUUUAUAAAUAAAAAGAAAAUUAAGUCAAGGUGCAGCAAAAAUUUUAGAAUGAAGUGAAUUACAGUGCUUUUUAGAAAAAGAAAAUGAAACUUAAUUUAGGAUUUGAAAGUAAGAAUUUAAUAAAAUGAUUUUUUGAAUGAAGUUCUGAGAUAUGUAC